rnacentral:rRNA from 1 species
GAUGAACGCUAGCGGCAGGCUUAAUACAUGCAAGUCGUGGGGCAGCAGGACUGUAGCCUUACAGUUGCUGGCGACCGGCAAACGGGUGCGGAACACGUACGCAGCUUACCCUGAACUGGGGGAUAGCCCGGGGAAACCCGGAUUAAUACCCCGUAAUAUAAUGGAGUGGCAUCACUUUAUUAUUAAAGCUCCGGCGGUUCGGGCUGGGCGUGCGGCUGAUUAGGUAGUUGGUUGAGGUAACGGCUCACCAAGCCUACGAUCAGUAACUGGUGUGAGAGCACGACCAGUCAGACGGGAAGUGAGACACGGGCCCGACUCAUACGGGAGGCAGCAGUAAGGAAUAUUGGGCAAGGGAGGCAAAUCUGACCCAGCCGUGCCGCGUGGAGGAUGAAGGCCCUCUGGGUUGUAAACUUCUUUUAUAGGGGAUGAAACCUGUGUAUUCUUACGCAGUUGACGGUACCCGAGGAAUAAGCACCGGCUAACUACGUG